AACCGGAGAACCGAUUGGGACCCGAACCCGAAAGUACAAUGGGUUAUACCGGUUAUUUGGAGAUUUACUAACCCCAACCCGAAUCCGAUAGAACCCGAACCGGUCCCGAACUAAACUUUUAUAUAACCCAAAUGGGGCUGAUUUUGAUAAACACGAAAAACCAAAACUCGAAUGGAUAAAACCGAAACCCGAUUGGUACCCCGAAUGUCCAUGCCUAGAACAAACUGUUUUCGCAAUUAUACAUUAGUUUCGAUUUUAUAUUAAAAGUUAUAGUCAUGAUGCUGAGUAAUACGAUUGAAUAAAAUUGUGGGAAAACAAAACAACCUCUCAAACUCUUUCUCGAAAAAGAAGAAAACAAACAACCUCUCGUGUGGUUGUAGAGACAAUUACUUGGGUAAUAAAUCUUAUCAAACUUUAAUUAAUACUAGGUAAGGAACCCGUGCGGAAACUCAUUUUAUAAAACGAAAUAAACUAUAUUUUAUAUAAAGAAAACUUCAAAAAUACAAAUGCUUUAGAGGAAAUACAUAUAUUACAAAAGUAUCUUGCAUGCAAUUAUAUUUCUUUAUUGAUAAUACAUAUAUUUUUCGUUAGUAGUUUUCUUGUUUAAUUGAAAAUUUUGGUUUAACCGAACUAAAAAAACAGUGUCAAAUUCAAAAGAUACAAUAUAUUUAAUUUGUAAAUAUAUAAUAUUAUUAAAUUAAUUAAAUUACUCGGAAAAUAUAACCACCAGAUUAUUUUAUAUAAUUUUAAAUAUUUUUAAAAUGUAUAUAAAUAGAUAUAAAAUAAUAAAAAGAUAUAUUUAAAAAAAACAUCUAUGCAAUUUUUAGUAUGAAAAGACACAUCCUUAAAUAUUUUAACAAAUUUUUCAACGCAAUGAAAUUUUCCGUGUUUAUAUGUUUUUCCAAGAUCUUAAUGAACUUUUAAAAAGGAAUCUCUCUUUUUCCUAAUCUAUUUUGUGAUUGUUGUGAAUUUUUUUUUUCUGUGUUGUGAUAACACUAAAAUUUGCAAUGAUUCAUCACUGAAUACUACAAUUCACCAAAUGCAUUAUCACCAUAAAAUUACCAAAAAUCACAAUGGUUUAUUACCAAAGAUUGCAAGUUCAUCACCAAAGGUUGCAAUCACCAAAAAAUAUAGUGUUUUAUUUAGUUUUUCAUUUAGACAAUUAUAAUAGUUCAUUUAAACAGUUUCAAAGAAUCACUUAAAUCUCCAACAAUCAUUCUCACUUAUGUGUAAUUAAUUAGAAAAUCAAUUAAUAAAUAGCACAUAUUUCAAACUUAUGCAUAAAUUAAAAUGUGCAUAUAUACAAACAUUUUUUAAUGGUUUACAUUUUCUUAAUAUUGAUAUAAUAAUAAAUAAAAAUUUCUUAAUUGAUCUGAACACUUUAUCUAAAACCCAAAUAGAUAAAAUCGAAUCAGACAAAAAACAUUCUCACCAAAACAUGAUAUUAUAAAACCAUACAAUAUAUAAUUUAAAAACCAUAUAUUUACUUAUAUAUAUAAUAUUAUAAUAAUAAUUAAAUUAUAGAACAAACCGAAAUGUCAGAAUAUUUUUAAGAUAUUUAUAAUAACAUAGUCAUGGUCAAACUUUUUAAUAUAAUCAAAAGGUAUGAAUAUAUAAGACACGAAUCAUGUGUUAAUGAAACAUAUAAUCAGAAAUGCAAUUCUGAAAAAAAAAACAUACAUUUUCAUUUAGUAAAAGAAAAUUAAGUAAUAUUUUCAUUAUUUUAUUUGGAUUUUUUUGCUAUCCAAAUUUGAAUGACCCUUCCUUAUAUUUUUUGUUGACGACGUUUCAUUUGAAUAUCUCUUAAUAAUUUAUAAGCUAGAAGCUUCAGACAAUUUUCUCCUUCACCAUUUUAAUAAAUUUGUGAAAAAAUCACAAUGAAAAACUUCUUGAUAUUGACUAUUUAUCUAUAUGAAAAUUCACAACUUUUAGAUUUCAUAUAGUUAUUUUAAAAUAGUACAUUUGCAAUUAAUAUAUAUAGACACAUCAUUACAAAAAGACACUCUAUUGCAUAUGGAAAUACACAUCCCACUAUAUAAUAGGGACUAAUUUUGGGUGUUCUAAAGGGUGCCACCUAGGCAAAAUAUUCUCAGCCAUUCAUUCUGCCACGUCACUGGCAACCCAGACGAAGAAAUCGUAAAUGCAUCCCAGCCCGUUAAUGACAGUGUGCCCCGCAUCAGUUUUGGUUUCCCGGUUGACUAAUUUUAAUUUGGUUUGAUUAUACGUGUUGUGGUUUGCUUAAUACGGAGAUAAUGGGUUAGUCGGGGAUUGUUUCUAUUUGGUCUGAUUAAAUGGUAAAUCAUAUAAACGCAGCGUUUCUUACUUUUCUCGAUUAGGGCUUCAUCCUUUUCAUUCAUCCACAGUUCACCUCGCCGUCUCCGUUUUCUUAAUCUUCAGAGUUUCUUUUCUUAUCUCUUGACAUUCCUUCAAGUUCAAUGUUUUCUUUAAAUUCAGCAAUAACGAUUAAACUUUAAAUCAUUAAACUUUGUAACGAUUCCGACCUCUUCGUUUCUUCUCCGUCGAAUCUAUAAAUAGGAGAUGGUCAAGAGGUGGAUGAACCUUUGCUAUCACUUUCAGUCUAUAUUUUUUUGUCGAGCGUAGAGAGAUUCUGAGAAAAUGUCUUCCUCUGAUGCCAUUGUUGCACAAGCAGCCUUCGACGUUCUCCGGCUCGGUAGAUCUGCCCAGUUCAUUGUUGCUCUUCUGCUCCGUUUCUGGGACUCCAAAAACAUCAAGAAGCAUGGUGAAUUCAUGGGAGUCACUCUACUUCUCCUUGAUGAGAAGAUGUUGUUGGGAAAAUUCAUUUUGUCCAAGGUUCAGACCUUAAGGACGCUCAAGUGAUGACUCGAGUUGUGGUCUACUUCGUCAUCGACUGUUGUGGUGUAUCUCUCUUUAUGGGACGAAGCUGCAGCAAUGUUUAGGGGCCUCAUCAGCUCAGGUUUUGUAGACUUAGGAUCGUUGAGGUCUUGAAGCAUAACAACUGGUACUAUGUCUCAUGCACUGGGUGCAGCAGGAAACUAGACAAAUCAGACCAGUCUCCCCAUUGCAACCGCUGUGUUAAUCUUAACGCCACAGGUGUUGUAAAGUACCAAGUAGAAGUAUAAGUUGAUGAUGCAAAUGAUAAUGCCACUUUUGUGGUCUUCGACAGAGAGAUGCUUCAACUCACUAACCUACCUGCAGCUGCUCUUACUCUAAAUGAGAUAAAUAGUGGUGGCAGCGAGCAACUCCCACAAUGCCUUGCAAAAUUUGCUGGAAAAUAUUUUCCAAAUAUGUGUGCCCCCGUUUACUUCCCCUCUAGACAACCCCCCCCCCCCCCCCCCCCCACUUUCCCUGUUUCAGGACUCAGUAACCCCAUCACCACCGAGACUUCCAACCCCAAGGCAGCUCCAUUUAUUGAAAGGGAAAUUGGCCAAGCAGAUUACCAGCACCGAAGUUGAAGGUCUAAAGGAUGACACACAUCCAGAGGGAGUUAAGGAAGAAGAGGUUGGCAAUACACACACCCGUGAGUGAAGAUACGAAGCUGCCACACCGUCGACCCAACCCUGCUCCUGUUUCUUUACAAUAUCAAAUAUUACUAUGCAUUUUCUAUGUUUCACUUUUAUAUAUUUUCCUUUUUUCCAGGUUUUUUAACAAGCCUUUUAUGUACCUCUUCAGAGAACAACUAUUUUAUUAAUUAAAAAGGGUUGACGUGAUUUAGUGUUUUAUGAGACAAAAUGCAACCUGUUUUAUUCACGUUGCCUUUGAUUCCGUGUUCUUCUAAAGCAUUCCUGGUACACUAGAUUUCAAUACAUUUCACCCGUACUUUCAUGUACAUUAAUUAUAUACUAAUUUAUGAAAAAUACACACUCAAUUACUCUGUCACCUUUUCUCCUUACGUUUCUUAAUACACUACCACUCUAUCACCUACAACAUACAUUCAUAUAGUUUUGCGUUGCUCAACAAUGUAUGAGACUUUGAUUUUUAAACUACAACAAUACAUCCAUUUGUCAAACACUACAAGAAAACACAAGAUUAACGAUGAAAAUUAACGAGGAAAACUGGUCCUCGUAAAUUUACGUUGACUUUACGAGAAUCUUACAAGGAAAUUUACAAUCAACGUUAGUUCGUCGUAAAAUAACGAGGAAACGAUUUCCUCGUAAAAACCACACAAGGUAACUUCGUUUUUACGAGGAAAAACUGUUUCCUCGUAAGCUCGAUGUAAAAGUAGCAUCUUCUUUACGAGGAAAUAGUUUACGUUUACUUAACGAAGAAUUUACGAGUCCAUCCACUUUGUAAUUGUAACACGUUUUUUGUUUCGGCUACCUUACUAAAUUCCACAUAAUCACGAAUAAUGAAAAUGAUGAUGUUUCUGGUGAUGACGAAAAUGUCGAUGUAUCUGACUGAUGUAUUUGUGUUUUAAUAUGACUGAUUUUCAGACUUAAUCCAUGUGAUUUGAUGGAUUUAAUCAUGAAAAUCUAUUUAUAUAAUUUAAUUUUAUGUAAUGGGGUUUGAAUUAGAAAGAAGAGAUUGAGAUUAUUAGUUAAGGAAUUGUGGUUUUAGAAUUUGGGGUUUAGAAUGGAUAGAAGAGAUUGAGGUUAAAGGGAGGAUGGGGUUGGGGUUGGGGUUUGGGGUUUCGGAUUUUAGGGAUUUAAACAUAAACAUAGUUAUUUCCUCGUAAAUUAACGAGGAACUUACGACGAUUCUUAAAAAUAAAGAACGCGGCACUCGUUAAUUCCACGUAAGCAGAAAUCGUCGUAAAGACCUCAUAAUAAAAAAACGCUGGCCUCGUUCAUUCCUCGUAAAAAUAAAAGCGGGCCUCGCUAAUUCCUCGUAAAUUAACGACGAUGUAACGAGGAAACGAAACGUGAAUAAAUUGGUUUGCCGUGAUCAAAGUUACACCUCGUGGACAAAUCAUCAGUGGAGAAGAACCACCAUUGCAAGAAGAACAGAGAGAUGAAGUUGAGGUACCUGAACAACAAAUUGAUGACAUCCUUCUCAUUGAUCUGCAUAAUCAUGAGUACGAAGAUAUUACCGACGAUGCCACGGACGAAGCUGUUGAAGACGAGUUUAAUGAAAAUGAUGAUGUUUCUAGUAAUGACGAGAAUGUCGAUGUAUCUGAUUGAUGUAUUUGUUUUUAUGCAGUU